rnacentral:rRNA from 1 species
UACAGAGGUCUCAAGCGUUGUUCGGAUUCAUUGGGCGUAAAGCGCGUGUAGGCGGCUCGAUAAGUCUGCUGUGAAAGUCCAGGGCUCAACCCUGGAAUGCCGGUGGAAACUGUUGAGCUUGAGUCCGGAAGAGGCGAGUGGAAUUCCUGGUGUAGCGGUGAAAUGCGCAGAUAUCAGGAGGAACACCAAUGGCGAAGGCAGCUCGCUGGGACGGUACUGACGCUGAGACGCGAAAGCGUGGGGAGCAAACAGG